AUUGAACGCUGGCGGCAGGCCUAACACAUGCAAGUCGAACGGUAACAGGAAGAAGCUUGCUUCUUUGCUGACGAGUGGCGGACGGGUGAGUAAUGUCUGGGAAACUGCCUGAUGGAGGGGGAUAACUACUGGAAACGGUAGCUAAUACCGCAUAACGUCGCAAGACCAAAGAGGGGGACCUUCGGGCCUCUUGCCAUUGGAUGUGCCCAGAUGGGAUUAGCUAGUAGGUGGGGUAACGGCUCACCUAGGCGACGAUCCCUAGCUGGUCUGAGAGGAUGACCAGCCACACUGGAACUGAGACACGGUCCAGACUCCUACGGGAGGCAGCAGUGGGGAAUAUUGCACAAUAGGCGCAAGCCUGAUGCAGCCAUGCCGCGUGUAUGAAGAAGGCCUUCGGGUUGUAAAGUACUUUCAGCGGGGAGGAAGGGAGUAAAGUUAAUACCUUUGCUCAUUGACGUUACCCGCAGAAGAAGCACCGGCUAACUCCGUG
rnacentral:rRNA from 1 species